rnacentral:rRNA from 1 species
GAUGUUGAAAGCUUCGGUGGAUACGGAUGAGCUCGCGAGACAUUAGUUAGUUGGCGGGGUAACGGCCCACCAAGACCGCGAUGUCUAGGGGAACUGAGAGGUUGGUCCCCCACACUGGAACUGAGACACGGUCCAGACUCCUACGGGAGGCAGCAGUGAGGAAUAUUGGACAAUGGUCGGAAGACUGAUCCAGCCAUGCCGCGUGAAGGAAUAAGGUCCUAUGGAUUGUAAACUUCUUUUGAGAGGGAGCAAUAAGGUGUACGUGUACACCGAUGAGAGUACCUUUCGAAUAAGCAUCGGCUAACUCCGUGCCAGCAGCCGCGGUAAUACGGAGGAUGCGAGCGUUAUCCGGAUUUAUUGGGUUUAAAGGGUGCGUAGGCGGUUUUUUAAGUCAGCGGUGAAACGCAAGGGCUCAACCCUUGACCUGCCGUUGAAACUGGAGGACUUGAAUGCGGAUGCUGUGGGAGGAAUGUGUGGUGUAGCGGUGAAAUGCAUAGAUAUCACACAGAACACCGAUUGCGAAGGCAUCUCACAAAUCCGUGAUUGACGCUGAGGCACGAAAGUGUGGGGAUCAAACAGG